GGGUUGUGAGGUUAAGCGACUAAGCGUACACGGUGGAUGCCCUGGCAGUCAGAGGCGAUGAAGGACGUGCUAAUCUGCGAUAAGCGUCGGUAAGGUGAUAUGAACCGUUAUAACCGGCGAUUUCCGAAUGGGGAAACCCAGUGUGUUUCGACACACUAUCAUUAACUGAAUCCAUAGGUUAAUGAGGCGAACCGGGGGAACUGAAACAUCUAAGUACCCCGAGGAAAAGAAAUCAACCGAGAUUCCCCCAGUAGCGGCGAGCGAACGGGGAGCAGCCCAGAGCCUGAAUCAGUGUGUGUGUUAGUGGAAGCGUCUGGAAAGGCGCGCGAUACAGGGUGACAGCCCCGUACACAAAAAUGCACAUACUGUGAGCUCGAUGAGUAGGGCGGGACACGUGGUAUCCUGUCUGAAUAUGGGGGGACCAUCCUCCAAGGCUAAAUACUCCUGACUGACCGAUAGUGAACCAGUACCGUGAGGGAAAGGCGAAAAGAACCCCGGCGAGGGGAGUGAAAAAGAACCUGAAACCGUGUACGUACAAGCAGUGGGAGCACGCUUAGGCGUGUGACUGCGUACCUUUUGUAUAAUGGGUCAGCGACUUAUAUUCUGUAGCAAGGUUAACCGAAUAGGGGAGCCGAAGGGAAACCGAGUCUUAACUGGGCGUUAAGUUGCAGGGUAUAGACCCGAAACCCGGUGAUCUAGCCAUGGGCAGGUUGAAGGUUGGGUAACACUAACUGGAGGACCGAACCGACUAAUGUUGAAAAAUUAGCGGAUGACUUGUGGCUGGGGGUGAAAGGCCAAUCAAACCGGGAGAUAGCUGGUUCUCCCCGAAAGCUAUUUAGGUAGCGCCUCGUGAAUUCAUCUCCGGGGGUAGAGCACUGUUUCGGCAAGGGGGUCAUCCCGACUUACCAACCCGAUGCAAACUGCGAAUACCGGAGAAUGUUAUCACGGGAGACACACGGCGGGUGCUAACGUCCGUCGUGAAGAGGGAAACAACCCAGACCGCCAGCUAAGGUCCCAAAGUCAUGGUUAAGUGGGAAACGAUGUGGGAAGGCCCAGACAGCCAGGAUGUUGGCUUAGAAGCAGCCAUCAUUUAAAGAAAGCGUAAUAGCUCACUGGUCGAGUCGGCCUGCGCGGAAGAUGUAACGGGGCUAAACCAUGCACCGAAGCUGCGGCAGCGACGCUGAUGCGUUGUUGGGUAGGGGAGCGUUCUGUAAGCCUGCGAAGGUGUGCUGUGAGGCAUGCUGGAGGUAUCAGAAGUGCGAAUGCUGACAUAAGUAACGAUAAAGCGGGUGAAAAGCCCGCUCGCCGGAAGACCAAGGGUUCCUGUCCAACGUUAAUCGGGGCAGGGUGAGUCGACCCCUAAGGCGAGGCCGAAAGGCGUAGUUGAUGGGAAACAGGUUAAUAUUCCUGUACUUGGUGUUACUGCGAAGGGGGGACGGAGAAGGCUAUGUUGGCCGGGCGACGGUUGUCCCGGUUUAAGCGUGUAGGCUGGUUUUCCAGGCAAAUCCGGAAAAUCAAGGCUGAGGCGUGAUGACGAGGCACUACGGUGCUGAAGCAACAAAUGCCCUGCUUCCAGGAAAAGCCUCUAAGCAUCAGGUAACAUCAAAUCGUACCCCAAACCGACACAGGUGGUCAGGUAGAGAAUACCAAGGCGCUUGAGAGAACUCGGGUGAAGGAACUAGGCAAAAUGGUGCCGUAACUUCGGGAGAAGGCACGCUGAUAUGUAGGUGAAGUCCCUCGCGGAUGGAGCUGAAAUCAGUCGAAGAUACCAGCUGGCUGCAACUGUUUAUUAAAAACACAGCACUGUGCAAACACGAAAGUGGACGUAUACGGUGUGACGCCUGCCCGGUGCCGGAAGGUUAAUUGAUGGGGUUAGCGCAAGCGAAGCUCUUGAUCGAAGCCCCGGUAAACGGCGGCCGUAACUAUAACGGUCCUAAGGUAGCGAAAUUCCUUGUCGGGUAAGUUCCGACCUGCACGAAUGGCGUAAUGAUGGCCAGGCUGUCUCCACCCGAGACUCAGUGAAAUUGAACUCGCUGUGAAGAUGCAGUGUACCCGCGGCAAGACGGAAAGACCCCGUGAACCUUUACUAUAGCUUGACACUGAACAUUGAGCCUUGAUGUGUAGGAUAGGUGGGAGGCUUUGAAGUGUGGACGCCAGUCUGCAUGGAGCCGACCUUGAAAUACCACCCUUUAAUGUUUGAUGUUCUAACGUUGACCCGUGAUCCGGGUUGCGGACAGUGUCUGGUGGGUAGUUUGACUGGGGCGGUCUCCUCCUAAAGAGUAACGGAGGAGCACGAAGGUUGGCUAAUCCUGGUCGGACAUCAGGAGGUUAGUGCAAUGGCAUAAGCCAGCUUGACUGCGAGCGUGACGGCGCGAGCAGGUGCGAAAGCAGGUCAUAGUGAUCCGGUGGUUCUGAAUGGAAGGGCCAUCGCUCAACGGAUAAAAGGUACUCCGGGGAUAACAGGCUGAUACCGCCCAAGAGUUCAUAUCGACGGCGGUGUUUGGCACCUCGAUGUCGGCUCAUCACAUCCUGGGGCUGAAGUAGGUCCCAAGGGUAUGGCUGUUCGCCAUUUAAAGUGGUACGCGAGCUGGGUUUAGAACGUCGUGAGACAGUUCGGUCCCUAUCUGCCGUGGGCGCUGGAGAACUGAGGGGGGCUGCUCCUAGUACGAGAGGACCGGAGUGGACGCAUCACUGGUGUUCGGGUUGUCAUGCCAAUGGCACUGCCCGGUAGCUAAAUGCGGAAGAGAUAAGUGCUGAAAGCAUCUAAGCACGAAACUUGCCCCGAGAUGAGUUCUCCCUGACUCCUUGAGAGUCCUGAAGGAACGUUGAAGACGACGACGUUGAUAGGCCGGGUGUGUAAGCGCAGCGAUGCGUUGAGCUAACCGGUACUAAUGAACCGUGAGGCUUAACCUUACAACGCCGAAGCUGUU
rnacentral:rRNA from 1 species